UACGUAGGGUGCGAGCGUUAAUCGGAAUUACUGGGCGUAAAGCGUGCGCAGGCGGUUUUGUAAGCCAGAUGUGAAAUCCCCGGGCUUAACCUGGGAAUGGCAUUUGGGACUGCAAGGCUGGAGUACGGCAGAGGAGACUGGAAUUCCUGGUGUAGCAGAUGAAAUGCGUAGAGAUCAGGAGGAAUACCGAUGGCGAAGGCAGGUCGUCUGGGCUGAUACUGACGCUCAUG
rnacentral:rRNA from 1 species